rnacentral:tRNA from 1 species
AAUAUAUUGAUUAUAAAUGUAGUGUUUGGGUCACUGAGAUUGUUUACUGA